rnacentral:lncRNA from 1 species
AUCGGACAGGGAUAAUGCCGUAGGUGCUGGUUUUAUUCUUAGAGAUUGUUAUGGUCGUCUAGUCCAUGAUGGUGGAAAGAGAUCAGCUUGUGUUUAGUUUCUUUUGCUGAAUUGGCUGCAGCUUGGGAGGAGCUAUGUUUGGCUGUUUUCAAAUUUAAGGCUGCUCAAGUUUCAUUAGAAGGUGACUCGGUUACCAUCAUCUCCUGGAUUAAUGGCUUGCAUGCUCGUAGGCCUAAAAUUAACCCUCUGUUAAGAGAUAUUUUGCAGAUGA